UACGUAGGGGGCUAGCGUUGUCCGGAAUCAUUGGGCGUAAAGCGCGCGUAGGCGGCCCAGUAAGUCCGUUGUAAAAGUCAAAGGCUCAACCUUUGAAAGCCGAUGGAUACUGCCGGGCUAGAGUCCGGAAGAGGUGAGUGGAAUUCCUGGUGUAGCGGUGAAAUGCGCAGAUAUCAGGAGGAACACCGAUGGCGAAGGCAGCUCACUGGGACGGUACUGACGCUGAGACGCGAAAGCGUGGGGAGCAAACAGG
rnacentral:rRNA from 1 species